UUAGGCGCAAAUCCUUACUAUUUUACAUGUAAAAUAUAAAUUUCAUUAUACCAUAAAGGCAAAAAUCUCUUGAGAUGUACAGCCUAAACCAACAAAUAAGCUCGGAAUAGUUGCCCCUUCACAAGCAUAGUAUCAUCAUAUUGCAGCCCUCAUUGCUCCUCUAGCAGCCUCGCGCUUCAUCUCAGCAGCUUUACCGCUGCCACGGAAAUACAUGUAUACUUGCUGCACAACCCAAAUACUGAGCACCAAUUCAACGCAGAAUAAUCCAAAUCCAAUGAAGUAGAAUAUUCCCACUAAAGCAUG
rnacentral:misc_RNA from 1 species